GUGAAGUUGAUCACAUACAAACAUUUACCCCUUUUGUUUGUGACGUGAAAAAUUUCUCCCAUCCCCUUUGUUCGUAUAAAACCCGAAAAGGCCGUGCGUAUGAAAUGCAUGGUUUUUUC
rnacentral:sRNA from 1 species